rnacentral:rRNA from 1 species
AGCUCCAAAAGUGUAUAUUUAAGUUGCUGCGGUUAAAAAGCUCGUAGUCGGAUGUCGGGCGCGGUCAAUCGGUCCGUCGUGAGAUGUGUUACUGGUCGGCAGGCCAAUGAAGCCGGUGCUCUUGAUUGAGUGCCGCCGGUGGGCCAGGCCGGUUACUUUGAAAAAAUUAGAGUGUUCAAAGCAGGCCCUGGGAGCCUGAAUAUCGGUGCACGGAAUAACGAAAGAGGACCUUGGUCUUGCUUUUGUUGGUUUUUGAAGGCGCGAGGUAAUGAUCGAGAGAGACGGACGGGGGCAUCCGUACUGUGCCGUCAGAGGUGAAAUUCUUGGACCGGCGCAAGACGAACUACUGCGAAAGCAUUUGCCAAGAAUGUUUUCC